UUUUGGUCAUGUCGUCUGCAUCGGAGGAGUAUUGGAGUCUUUUCCUGUGAUUGCCGUCGUAACAACAGGAGAUUUCUCCAAGCAAAAACAGGAUCCUGAAUAUGAGGCAGAAUCAUCAUACAGCCAGCUGUCCGUUUUACAGAAAUGCAGAAUUAGGUUCAUUCAGAUCUUUGUGGCACCAAAUGCAUUGAAAGUCACAGGUCAGCUGGCAUUCUGGAAAGAGGGUCUGCCUGAAUCCCAUCCUGCUGUUUCUCAUCGGAGAGCUUGUCAACUUUGACUGUCAAAAUUACUGAAAUUUAACACAACAACACAAACUCAUUUUUACUGUAUUAUUUGAUUUUUAUUUACACUACCAGUCAAAAGUUUUUGAACAGUAAGAUUUGUAAUGUUUUUAAAGAAGACUCUUCUGCUCACCAAGCCUGCAUUUAUUUGAUCCAAAGUACAGCAAAAACAGUACAAUUUUGA